rnacentral:rRNA from 1 species
AAAAAAGGAAAGAAAGCUUGCUGUGGAAAUCUUGGUUUCGAAUUUAGAAUUGUCGGUUUUAACCUUGGGGGCUUUUGGGUUUCGCCGUUUCGGUAUUUGGUGGAGGGUGGUUUGGUAAUUUCGCGGAGGCUAUUAAAAACGACUGUUAGUUUGAGUUAUGGUUUGGGUUUUCCCGGGAAAAGUAGUUUGUGCUCUUUGGGUCUGAAAUACCGAAAAUGCCCAUCGUUCCGAAGUGUUGAUUCUAUUAAUUUUUUCUAGUUCGAAAUUUAAAUAUAGUUAUAAUUAUUGAUGAGUAAACUAAACUAUAUGUUUGUGACAAAUAAAGUAGGUGGGAAGAUUAUGAAUAAUUCUUCCGUAUUAGGAAAUGUUAUACAAUUAUAACAUUUUGAUUGUUGUGAUUGUGACUUCUCGAGGUUAAAGAAACUUCCAAAUUAAUUUGUUUUAUAUCUAUAUGUGAGGAAAAAAUAAUAGCGUAUUUAUUUGAUGGUGUUUAUUUUAAUAAGUUUCUUGAUUGCUUAAAAGUUAAAUCCUCAAAGUAAUAAUAUUGUUGAUGUUGAUUUUCGUCAAUAGGAGAUCAUGAAGGGCGACUAGAAUGCGAAUUAAUCGUCACUUAUUUUAACUUUUUCUUUGAAAAACUUAUUUCUUUUAAGAACUAUUCCGAUUUAAAAAUAUUUGAAUAUCUCUUAUAAUUAAUUAUCUCUUAGAUAUAUGAGGAAAUAUCCUUAUUGAUUUGAAUUGAUACUUACCUUUUGGAGUAAGAAUCAUAUGUGUAUAUAUAUAUAUUUAAAUUAGAAAGAAUAUCGUAAUAAAUGUACUUAAACGUGGAAGCUCAAAUCUUUGAUUUUCAUAAUCAUCGGUCCCUAAGAUGUAUUCAUGGACCUUUCCUUCGAGCUCUCGAGUCAUGUAAUAUUUGUCUUCGUAGUCCCUAAUACUUUUUCGGUGCUUUUAGUACUUCAGAUUGGAUUGGAUAUGAUUAGAUUAUAUAUAUGAAAUUGGAUUGGAUUUGAUUGUACAAAAUAAUAUUACAUGUUUAACGUACUAUUAUAUUAGAUUGGACUGGAUAUAAUAUUUAUUUUAAAUUAAAAAAAUUAUUUAAUUAAUCCAUUAUAAAUUAUUUUUUAUUUUUAUUUUUAUGAAUAAAUUAAUAAUCAAUUAAAAGAGUGGGGGCCCACAUUUUUUGCUUAUAUCCCAUGUAAUCUCCUACUUUUGGAAGGGAUGAGUUAUCCUACAUGCAUGAAAUUAUUUUUAGGGAAAAUUUAAAUAAUCUCAUCCACAAUUUGCACCAAACAUAACAUUAAAAUAAUAUUAUCCAAUCCAAUCCAAUCCAAAACUAUAUCAUAUCCGCCAAACACAUCCUUUAGCUCUUUGGCCCAGAUAUUCAUUUCAAAGUUGCUCAAUAAUAAAUAUAAAAUUAACAAUAAAGUAGUUUUCUAAGUCUAAUGAUUUGAAUUUUUUAAUAAAUGGCAACUUAUGGAUAUAAAAGUACAUAGUUGAUGAGCCGAAGAGAUGUUAUCCACCAUAUAGACAAUGCAAAAAUUAUGAUAUGUUGCAAAACUUGUUACAUAUUAAAACGAAAAAAUAUAUAAUGUCUAGAAACUUAUAAUAUUUAAUACAUUGUAUUCUACUAAAAUCUUUGGUGAAAUGGGUGUCUUAAACAUGUUUCAAUUGGCUUAAUUCUAAUACGGUUGAAAUUGAAUUGGCCUCUUAAUUAUAAUCUGAAUUGAAAGGGGAUAUUGAUAAAUGCUCUUUUAUUAAGAUAAUGGAAUAUAUUUAUCUGGGAAUUUGGAUUAGCUACUUAACUUACUAGCUUGAGCCUUGAUGUCCAAAUUGGUUUAUUUACAAAUGGUCACACUCUUCUCAUACGUUUAUAUUAGUCUAUAGCAAAAUAAAUUAUCUAAUACAUUGUUAAACUCAAACUGCAUUAGAUACUUCAAAAAAUAAUAAGAAAUUAUAUACACCUAGCCAUUAUAUGUUAUUUUUUCUCAAUUCCAAUAUUCUCCAAGCCAUCCACUGGGUAGCACCUAUAUAGUAUAUAUAAUAUAAAAGUGUUGAAAUUUAGUUUCCAUUCUAUUUUAUUUCUCUCGUAUAGUUUUGUUCAGAAAAGGUGAUAUUAUUUCGGGGAGAAUUCUAAAGAUGCAUUUUUUGCACACUAUGUUUUUAUUUUGCUUACACUUUUAUUUUAUUCUAUAUCAUUACACUAUAGGUAUUGGUAGAAAUUAAAAAAGCUUAUAGAUUGGAAAAAAUUAAAUUUAUUAAGAGAUAUUUUUAAAAAAUGCUCACAAUUAACGCACCAUUAAUAUUUAUGUCUCAAAGAUUGUGCUCUUUUAUUUUCCAUCUCGUGUUAUAAUAUGCAAUAUUAAUGGUAGAAUAAAAGAACAAGCACAAAAAGGCACAAAUUAAGUGUGUGAAAAAAGAACUUAAAGGUAGAGAAUUUUACGAUAGCAAAUGGUACCGAAUAGAAGGGCCGUUGCUCAACAAAUAAAGUUACGCUAGGGAUAACAGACUAAUCUUCCCUAAGAGCUCACAACUAUGGGAGAUUUAGCACCUUGAUGUCGGCUCUUUUGCCGCUUAAGGCUGUAGUAUGUUCCAAAGGUUAGGCUAUUUGCUCAUUAAAGUGGUGUGUGAGCUAGGUUUAGAACGUCGUGAGACAGUUUAGUCCAUAAUCAGUGUAAGAGUUAGAGCAUUGAGAGGACCUUAUCAUAGUGCAAGAGGACUGGGAAUGAACCUCGUAGUUAUUAAACGCUGGAUAGCCAAGUGCGGAGUGGAUAGCUGUUUAAAACGUCUAAGUAGUAAGCUCACCCCAAGAUGAGUACUAUUAUAUUCCGAUUUUUUCAAAGCCUACGAUUGACAACUAGGACAAAUGAUGGGUUUUCUACUUCUGCAUGGCUUUACUACUCAUUCGGGCUAGAGCACGAUCUUAGACUAUCAUGAUUAACUUUUUUUAAAAAAUAAGA